AUUGAACGCUGGCGGCAUGCCUUACACAUGCAAGUCGAACGGCAGCACGGGAGCAAUCCUGGUGGCGAGUGGCGAACGGGUGAGUAAAGUAUCGGAACGUGCCCAGUCGUGGGGGAUAACGUAGCGAAAGUUACGCUAAUACCGCAUACGAUCUAUGGAUGAAAGCGGGGGAUCGCAAGACCUCGCGCGAUUGGAGCGGCCGAUAUCAGAUGAGGUAGUUCGUGGGGUAAAGGCUCACCAAGCCGACGAUCUGUAGCUGGUCUGAGAGGACGACCAGCCACACUGGGACUGAGACACGGCCCAGACUCCGACGGGAGGCAGCAGUGGGGAAUUUUGGACAAUGGGCGAAAGCCUGAUCCAGCCAUGCCGCGUGCAGGAUGAAGGCCUUCGGGUUGUAAACUGCUUUUGUACGGAACGAAAAGGUUUGGCCUAUAAGCUGAGCUCAUGACGGUACCGUAAGAAUAAGCACCGGCUAACUACGUGCCAGCCGCCGCGGUAA
rnacentral:rRNA from 1 species